UACGUAGGGUGCAAGCGUUGUCCGGAAUUAUUGGGCGUAAAGAGCUCGUAGGCGGUUUGUUGCGUCGGCUGUGAAAUCCCGAGGCUCAACCUCGGGUCUGCAGUCGAUACGAGCAAACUAGAGUGUUGCAGGGGAGACUGGAAUUCCUGGUGUAGCGGUGAAAUGCGUAGAGAUCAUGAGGAAGACCAGUGGCGAAGGCGGGUCUCUGGACAGUUCCUGACACUGAGACACGAAGGCCAGGGGAGCAAACGGG
rnacentral:rRNA from 1 species